rnacentral:tmRNA from 1 species
ACUUACGCCAUGGCUGCCUAAUUCAGAGAAUUAGCACUCAUUAUGGCCGGGAUGCAGGCUGGCCUGUUGCCAAGCUCCUCCGCUGAAUCAAAGAAAAACGGGAUGCUGUUACACAAGGCUGUGCGUGUAGCUUAAGACCAUCCAGCUAAGGUGGCGAUUGGUUCGUCCGGCUCCGGCCGCCACCCGACAACUAAUUCCGGAAUAAGCAUGUAGAAGGCUUAUGGCAGAUAUGUUUGGACAGCGGUUCGACUCCGCUCAGCUCCACUC